rnacentral:rRNA from 1 species
UAGGGAAUCUUCGGCAAUGGACGGAAGUCUGACCGAGCAACGCCGCGUGAGUGAAGAAGGUUUUCGGAUCGUAAAGCUCUGUUGUAAGAGAAGAACGAGUGUGAGAGUGGAAAGUUCACACUGUGACGGUAUCUUACCAGAAAGGGACGGCUAACUACGUGCCAGCAGCCGCGGUAAUACGUAGGUCCCGAGCGUUGUCCGGAUUUAUUGGGCGUAAAGCGAGCGCAGGCGGUUAGAUAAGUCUGAAGUUAAAGGCUGUGGCUUAACCAUAGUACGCUUUGGAAACUGUUUAACUUGAGUGCAAGAGGGGAGAGUGGAAUUCCAUGUGUAGCGGUGAAAUGCGUAGAUAUAUGGAGGAACACCGGUGGCGAAAGCGGCUCUCUGGCUUGUAACUGACGCUGAGGCUCGAAAGCGUGGGGAGCAAACAGGAUUAGAUACCCUGGUAGUCCACGCCGUAAACGAUGAGUGCUAGGUGUUAGACCCUUUCCGGGGUUUAGUGCCGCAGCUAACGCAUUAAGCACUCCGCCUGGGGAGUACGACCGCAAGGUUGAAACUUAAA